CUAUUGUCGGUGGAGUUCUUCUGUCUUUGGAGUUUUACGGUCGCCAUACCCUACUUUAUGCUCUGUGUUUUAUUAGGAUGUAACAGGAUGUGUUUUAUUAGGUUUUAUGUACAGAUGUAAAUCAUGUUUUUGCUGCAAUCCAGUUAAUAUGUAAAAGCCUAACUUUUAUUGUUUAGGUGCCAGUUCAUUUGAAAAUUGAAAUCUUAUAUGCUGAUCGGCAAAUAUUUUACAUAGUGGACUGCACAGUUAUUGUCUUUACUACAGUCAUGGUUUAAUAGCCAGGUGAAGUCUGAGCUUCUGCAGUGCCGUUUAACUUGUUCAUGGUAUUGUUGCAGCCAGCUGGUGAAUGGUGUAUUGAGCGUGCAGCCUGUGGUGUUGGUGAGCCGCUGCAUGCAGUCUGUGGUGCAUGCUGGUGUUAUCCUGAAAUGUGUUUAUCUUCUUUACCAAUACUGCAAUGCCUGUUUGUGCCCCGAAAUUCAAUCUUAAAUUGAAGAAAAA